rnacentral:rRNA from 1 species
GGGUUGUUGCUGGCUCUCUAGGGGGCAUGUGCACACCUUGUCAUCUUUAUAUCUCCACCUGUGCACUUUUUGUAGACCUUUCAGGUCUAUGUUGCUUCAUUUACCCCAAUGUAUGUUAAUAGAAUGUUGUGACUAUAUAAUAUAUACAACUUUCAGCAACGGAUCUCUUGGCUCUCGCAUCGAUGAAGAACGCAGCGAAAUGCGAUAAGUAAUGUGAAUUGCAGAAUUCAGUGAAUCAUCGAAUCUUUGAACGCACCUUGCGCUCCUUGGUAUUCCGAGGAGCAUGCCUGUUUGAGUGUCAUUAAUAUAUAUAUCAACCCUCUCUUUGUUGAGUGGUUUGGAUGUGGGGGUUUGCUGGCCUCUUAAAUGGUUCAGCUCCCCUGAAAUGCAUUAGCAGAACAACCCUGUUCAUUGGUGUGAUAACUAUCUACGCUAUUGAAUGUGAAGGGAAGUUCAGCUUUCUAACUGUCUUUGGACAAUUCAUCAUUAAUGUGACCUCAAAUCAGGUAGGACUACCCGCUGAACUUAAGCAUAUCAAUAAGCGGAGGAAAAGAAACUAACAAGGAUUCCCCUAGUAACUGCGAGUGAAGCGGGAAAAGCUCAAAUUUAAAAUCUGGCGGUCUUUUGGCUGUCCGAGUUGUAAUCUAGAGAAGUGUUAUCCGCGCUGGACCGUGUACAAGUCUCCUGGAAUGGAGCAUCAUAGAGGGUGAGAAUCCCGUCUUUGACAUGGACUGCCAGGGCUUUGUGAUGCGCUCUCAAAGAGUCGAGUUGUUUGGGAAUGCAGCUCAAAAUGGGUGGUAAAUUCCAUCUAAAGCUAAAUAUUGGCGAGA